UGGCAGUCACGGGUAACGGGGAAUUAGGGUUCGAUUCCGGAGAGGGAGCCUGAGAAAUGGCUACCACUUCUAAGGAAGGCAGCAGGCGCGUAAAUUACCCAAUCCUGAUUCAGGGAGGUAGUGACAAGAAAUAACAACUCGGGYCCCUCACGGGGUUACGAGAUUGCAAUGAGAACAAUUUAAACCACUUAUCKAGGAACAAUUGGAGGGCAAGUCUGGUGCCAGCAGCCGCGGUAAUUCCAGCUCCAAUAGCGUAUAUUAAAGUUGUUGCAGUUAAAAAGCUCGUARUUGAAUUUCUGGCCAGUCCUGCACUGUGCAGUUUGCCGGUGUAGGGCUUGGUCAUCCGUAGGGGAAACCAGUGCGGCCUUCAKUGGUCGGCUGGCGGAACCUACAAUUUACUGUGAAAAAAUUAGAGUGUUUCAGGCAGGCAAUCGCUUGGAUACUCCAGCAUGGAAUAAUGGAAUAGGACUUUGAUCUAUUUGUUGGUUUGAGAUCAAAGUAAUGAUUAAUAGGGACAGUUGGGGGCAUUCGUAUUUAAUUGUCAGAGGUGAAAUUCUUGGAUUUAUU
rnacentral:rRNA from 1 species